rnacentral:rRNA from 1 species
UACAUGGGGUGCAAACGUUGCUCGGAAUUAUUGGGCGUAAAGCGCACGUAGGCGGUUUGUUAAGUCGGAUGUGAAAUCCCUCGGCUCAACUGAGGAAGUGCAUCCGAAACUGGCAGGCUUGAGUACUAAAGAGGGUCGCGGAAUUUCCGGUGUAGCGGUGAAAUGACGUAGAUAUCGGAAGGAACAUCAGUGGCGAAGGCGACUUCCUGGACCAAUACUGACGCUCAGGUGCGAAAGCGUGGGGAGCAAACAGG